rnacentral:rRNA from 1 species
AGAGUUUGAUCAUGGCUCAGGACGAACGCUGGCGGCGUGCUUAAUACAUGCAAGUCAUAGGGGCUAAUUUCCUUCGGGAGAUUGGUCACUGGCGCACGGGUGCGUAACGCGUAAGUUAUCUGCCCUUGGGUCUGGCAUAACGUCGGGAAACCGGCGCUAAUUCCAGAUGAUAUCGUAAGAUCAAAGCCUUCGGGCGCCCAAGGAUGAGCUUGCGUCUGAUUAGCUUGUUGGCGGGGUAAUGGCCCACCAAGGCAACGAUCAGUAGCCGGUCUGAGAGGAUGAUCGGCCACAUUGGGACUGAGACACGGCCCAGACUCCUACGGGAGGCAGCAGUAAGGAAUAUUGCGCAAUGGACGAAAGUCUGACGCAGCAACGCCGCGUGCAGGAUGAAGGCCCUUUGGGUUGUAAACUGCUGUAGAAAGGGAAUAAUAGUUUGCCACGGGUGAACUUGAAGGUACCUUUAAAGUAAGCGCCGGCUAACUACGUGCCAGCAGCCGCGGUAAUACGUAGGGCGCAAGCGUUGUCCGGAUUCACUGGGUGUAAAGGGUGCGCAGGCGGAUUGGCAAGUCAGAGGUGAAAUCUCACGGCUCAACCGUGAAACUGCCUUUGAUACUGCUUAUCUUGAGUUCGGGAGAGGUUGAUGGAAUUCCAGGUGUAGCGGUGAAAUGCGUAGAUAUCUGGAAGAACACCAGUGGCGAAGGCGGUCAACUGGCCCGCAACUGACGCUCAUGCACGAAAGCGUGGGGAUCAAACAGGAUUAGAUACCCUGGUAGU